UUGAACUGAAGAGUUUGAUCAUGGCUCAGAUUGAACGCUGGCGGCAGGCCUAACACAUGCAAGUCGAGCGGAUGAAGGGAGCUUGCUCCUGGAUUCAGCGGCGGACGGGUGAGUAAUGCCUAGGAAUCUGCCUGGUAGUGGGGGAUAACGUCCGGAAACGGGCGCUAAUACCGCAUACGUCC
rnacentral:rRNA from 1 species